AAGUUAUUGUCUGGAAUUUUCCACAGCUGGCUUCCCUUUGUGCAAUUCUUUCUAAACCACGACUGUGCCUUCUGAACAGGAUUGUGAAAUUCUGUUGUGUAGUUGUCAUCUAGUGGUGCUAUGGCAGUGCUGCUGAGCCUACACUCACAGUGGUUUGCUGCUCCUGAGGAAGAGGUGGCAGAGGUGACUUUGGCAGUGAACAGCACACAGGGUGAUGCAGGGCUGGCCCAGGGCAGCUGUGUCCAGCAGGAAAAGCAGUGUUCACGAGGAAAAUAUCACAACGUUGUGCUGUGAAGUUCAUGGUGCCUGCAGAUGAGAAGCCACAAUUAACACCUAUAUUUCCCCCUAGAGGCUGU
rnacentral:lncRNA from 1 species